rnacentral:rRNA from 2 species
UUAAGCGACUAAGCGUACACGGUGGAUGCCCUGGCAGUCAGAGGCGAUGAAGGGCGUGCUAAUCUGCGAUAAGCGCCGGUAAGGUGAUAUGAACCGUUAUAACCGGCGAUACCCGAAUGGGGAAACCCAGUGUGAUUCGUCACACUAUCAUUAACUGAAUCCAUAGGUUAAUGAGGCGAACCGGGGGAACUGAAACAUCUAAGUACCCCGAGGAAAAGAAAUCAACCGAGAUUCCCCCAGUAGCGGCGAGCGAACGGGGAGGAGCCCAGAGCCUGAAUCAGCAUGUGUGUUAGUGGAAGCGUCUGGAAAGGUGCGCGAUACAGGGUGACAGCCCCGUACACAAAAGCGCAUGUGCUGUGAGCUCGAUGAGUAGGGCGGGACACGUGGUAUCCUGUCUGAAUAUGGGGGGACCAUCCUCCAAGGCUAAAUACUCCUGACUGACCGAUAGUGAACCAGUACCGUGAGGGAAAGGCGAAAAGAACCCCGGCGAGGGGAGUGAAAAAGAACCUGAAACCGUGUACGUACAAGCAGUGGGAGCACAGGUUUACCUGUGUGACUGCGUACCUUUUGUAUAAUGGGUCAGCGACUUAUAUUCUGUAGCAAGGUUAACCGUAUAGGGGAGCCGGAGGGAAACCGAGUCUUAAUUGGGCGUUAAGUUGCAGGGUAUAGACCCGAAACCCGGUGAUCUAGCCAUGGGCAGGUUGAAGGUUGGGUAACACUAACUGGAGGACCGAACCGACUAAUGUUGAAAAAUUAGCGGAUGACCUGUGGCUGGGGGUGAAAGGCCAAUCAAACCGGGAGAUAGCUGGUUCUCCCCGAAAGCUAUUUAGGUAGCGCCUCGUGAAUUCAUCUCCGGGGGUAGAGCACUGUUUCGGCUAGGGGGCCAUCCCGGCUUACCAACCCGAUGCAAACUGCGAAUACCGGAGAAUGUUAUCACGGGAGACACACGGCGGGUGCUAACGUCCGUCGUGAAGAGGGAAACAACCCAGACCGCCAGCUAAGGUCCCAAAGUCAUGGUUAAGUGGGAAACGAUGUGGGAAGGCCCAGACAGCCAGGAUGUUGGCUUAGAAGCAGCCAUCAUUUAAAGAAAGCGUAAUAGCUCACUGGUCGAGUCGGCCUGCGCGGAAGAUGUAACGGGGCUAAACCAUGCACCGAAGCUGCGGCAGCGAACGUAUCACCCAAGACAACUUUACGGAGUUGACGAUUGACGGAGCGAAGCGACGUCAAAGCGUUCAUUAAAGUCGAGUUGGCUUAGGGAUACGUUCGUUGGGUAGGGGAGCGUUCUGUAAGCCUGUGAAGGUGUGUCGUGAGGCAUGCUGGAGGUAUCAGAAGUGCGAAUGCUGACAUAAGUAACGAUAAAGCGGGUGAAAAGCCCGCUCGCCGGAAGACCAAGGGUUCCUGUCCAACGUUAAUCGGGGCAGGGUGAGUCGACCCCUAAGGCGAGGCCGAAAGGCGUAGUCGAUGGGAAACGGGUUAAUAUUCCCGUACUUGGUGUUACUGCGAAGGGGGGACGGAGAAGGCUAUGUUGGCCGGGCGACGGUUGUCCCGGUUUAAGCGUGUAGGUGUGUGUUCCAGGUAAAUCCGGUUCACUUUAACACUGAGGCGUGACGACGAGGCACUACGGUGCUGAAGCAACAAAUGCCCUGCUUCCAGGAAAAGCCUCUAAGCAUCAGGUAACAUCAAAUCGUACCCCAAACCGACACAGGUGGUCAGGUAGAGAAUACCAAGGCGCUUGAGAGAACUCGGGUGAAGGAACUAGGCAAAAUGGUGCCGUAACUUCGGGAGAAGGCACGCUGACACGUAGGUGAAGUGAUUUACUCAUGGAGCUGAAGUCAGUCGAAGAUACCAGCUGGCUGCAACUGUUUAUUAAAAACACAGCACUGUGCAAACACGAAAGUGGACGUAUACGGUGUGACGCCUGCCCGGUGCCGGAAGGUUAAUUGAUGGGGUCAGCGCAAGCGAAGCUCCUGAUCGAAGCCCCGGUAAACGGCGGCCGUAACUAUAACGGUCCUAAGGUAGCGAAAUUCCUUGUCGGGUAAGUUCCGACCUGCACGAAUGGCGUAAUGAUGGCCAGGCUGUCUCCACCCGAGACUCAGUGAAAUUGAACUCGCUGUGAAGAUGCAGUGUACCCGCGGCAAGACGGAAAGACCCCGUGAACCUUUACUAUAGCUUGACACUGAACAUUGAGCCUUGAUGUGUAGGAUAGGUGGGAGGCUUUGAAGUGUGGACGCCAGUCUGCAUGGAGCCGACCUUGAAAUACCACCCUUUAAUGUUUGAUGUUCUAACGUGGACCCGUAAUCCGGGUUGCGGACAGUGUCUGGUGGGUAGUUUGACUGGGGCGGUCUCCUCCUAAAGAGUAACGGAGGAGCACGAAGGUUGGCUAAUCCUGGUCGGACAUCAGGAGGUUAGUGCAAUGGCAUAAGCCAGCUUGACUGCGAGCGUGACGGCGCGAGCAGGUGCGAAAGCAGGUCAUAGUGAUCCGGUGGUUCUGAAUGGAAGGGCCAUCGCUCAACGGAUAAAAGGUACUCCGGGGAUAACAGGCUGAUACCGCCCAAGAGUUCAUAUCGACGGCGGUGUUUGGCACCUCGAUGUCGGCUCAUCACAUCCUGGGGCUGAAGUAGGUCCCAAGGGUAUGGCUGUUCGCCAUUUAAAGUGGUACGCGAGCUGGGUUUAGAACGUCGUGAGACAGUUCGGUCCCUAUCUGCCGUGGGCGCUGGAGAACUGAGGGGGGCUGCUCCUAGUACGAGAGGACCGGAGUGGACGCAUCACUGGUGUUCGGGUUGUCAUGCCAAUGGCACUGCCCGGUAGCUAAAUGCGGAAGAGAUAAGUGCUGAAAGCAUCUAAGCACGAAACUUGCCCCGAGAUGAGUUCUCCCUGAGACUUAGAGUCUCCUGAAGGAACGUUGAAGACGACGACGUUGAUAGGCCGGGUGUGUAAGCGCAGCGAUGCGUUGAGCUAACCGGUACUAAUGAACCGUGAGGCUUAACCUU